ACGGAAGGCAGCAGUGGGGAAUAUUGCACAAUGGGGGAAACCCUGAUGCAGCGACGCCGCGUGAGUGAAGAAGUAUUUCGGUAUGUAAAGCUCUAUCAGCAGGGAAGAUAAUGACGGUACCUGACUAAGAAGCACCGGCUAAAUACGUGCCAGCAGCCGCGGUAGUACGUAUGGUGCAAGCGUUAUCCGGAUUUACUGGGUGUAAAGGGAGCGUAGACGGCAUGGCAAGUCUGAAGUGAAAGCCUGGGGCUCAACCCCGGAACUGCUUUGGAAACUGUUAAGCUAGAGUGCAGGAGAGGUAAGUGGAAUUCCUAGUGUAGCGGUGAAAUGCGUAGAUAUUAGGAGGAACACCAGUGGCGAAGGCGGCUUACUGGACUGUAACUGACGUUGAGGCUCGAAAGCGUGGGGAGCAAACAGGAUUAGAUACCCUGGUA
rnacentral:rRNA from 1 species